rnacentral:lncRNA from 1 species
AAGGCAACAAAAAUAAAGAAAAUAGAAGUAUUUGUAUUGAGAACAAGGAAUUCAUUGGAAAAUCCUCUGUCCAAUUUAUGGUCGAGAUGGACUUCAAACUGGGCUUCUUACAAGACGAAAAUAGAAAUUAGAAGACAGAAACUUAGUAUCCAAUUCUGAGAAGAACCAGCUCCUUACUUUGAGAACCACCAGGACCCACUAUGAUGGCUUACAACUUGUCUGUAAGUUAUUAAACAUUGAAACAAAAUAACCCAUCAACAAAAUAAAGUCAGCAUCAUACAAGAAUUAAACAGAUUUGAAGGCUGCAAUCUAACAUCCAUUAACCAAAAGAAUGGUAUCAGUAAAUAAAGCAUAGCAAGUAUUAACUCAUAACACAAUAAAUGUAGUAUUAUAUAAUAUUUUAGAAAUAAUACGUCAAAUUACCACUUACCAAACUCUUUAGUCUCUGCUCUCUAUCAAUUAGACGUCGACGGAUGUUGACAUCUGUUUCAAGGCCAAACGGAUGUCGACAUUCGUUCUGACCUGAGCGGUUCACACAACAGCGACAAGAAGCACACACAACAGCGAUAACAUGCACAGUAAAAUCAAAGGUGAUGGAUACUAAAGGAGAAAAAAAACGAACACACCUGGAUGGAAGUAAAAAGAACCACCACAGCAACAGACGCACCACCACGAACAGUAAGAACCCACCGCAUCGCACCGCACCACCGCACCCCGCACUACCUCACCUCACCACCACUCAAAGCAAAGGUGAAGUGUGAAGGAUGAAGGAGAAUGAUGAAAGUCAGAGGAAGAGAGGCAGAUGUAUU